AUGGUAAAUGGAUGAUGAUUCAAUUAGAUGUGCGAAUGGUUUCAUCAUGACCUCAAAAACUCUAUUUGGCAAUUUAUCUGACAUCUCCCAU
rfam:Arabidopsis thaliana chromosome 3, complete sequence.